rnacentral:rRNA from 1 species
AGAGUGAACGCUGGCGGUAGGCCUAACACAUGCAAGUCGAACGGCAGCACAGUAGGAGCUUGCUCUUACGGGUGGCGAGUGGCGGACGGGUGAGGAAUACAUCGGAAUCUACCUUUUGGUGGGGGAUAACGUAGGGAAACUUACGCUAAUACCGCAUACGCCCUUCGGGGGAAAGCCGGGGACCAGCAAUGGCCUGGCGCUGAUAGAUGAGCCGAUGUCGGAUUAGCUAGUUGGUGAGGUAAUGGCUCACCAAGGCGACGAUCCGUAGCUGGUCUGAGAGGAUGAUCAGCCACACUGGAACUGAGACACGGUCCAGACUCCGUACGGGAGCAGGCA